CAACCCAUAAACCUGUCGCGCUUGCGUUCGGUUAUUGCUUAUAAAGUUGCGAGACUAGCGAGCACGGACACGUGCGAAAAUCAGAGUUCGAUGGACAACCCGAUGACAGGAAUCGGGCGAGGACGAAUGAAAGCGUGUUUGCAUGAGCAUAGGUACAAAAGAGCCGGCCGUCAAUCCGAAACCGCAGCGGCCAUUAUCGGGCAAUUUUAAACGGAACGCCGUAGUUACGAUUCGCGAGCAUGCGCUUCAGAUUCUGCAGUCGUCAAACAACGCAACAACAUCCCGCACCGUUCGGCGGCACUUGGGAUCUGUGCAAACUGAGUGUGUCGGUACACACGCGACAACAAAGGGACGCGGCAAAAACGCGUUUCCGAAAAGUGUACACCCGUAAGCUCCGGCUCCAGGUCCUUUGAUAUCAAAGCUGCUGAUUGGCCACAAAUGCAAGAUCAGAGUUCGAACGUCGACGAGAUCGGCAUGUGGAUCAACCGUGGGUGUCCUGUGCGGUCAGCUCGUUAACCGGUAAUUCGCCGGCACUAUAUUCGCAGAGUAAUCGCUUAAGAUGUCACUAAGUACAGCGAUUUUUCUUACGUUCGUACUCGCGGCUAGAGAUAUGUCCGUAGCAGAUAAGCGGAAAGAUACCGGAAAGAAGAAUUAAAAGAAGAUCAGCGUUCCGAGAGUAUGCGAAUUUUUCAACAUCAAACAUUCAGAAGGAACGGGAGACGGGGGAACUAGGGCAACCAGUUUAAAAGCCCAGGAUACUUUAACACCCGGGAGUACUACUCAGUCUCGUCUCUGAAAAAUCUUUUUAUUCUAACCGUACAUUUGUAUGUACUCAUACAUAUGUACGGGCGCGGUGCAGCAGUACAGUCGCACUUUAUUGAGCGAAUUUCAUUCUCGUUUAUAGUUACGACCAUCACACGAAAGGUAUAAGGAAGAAGUAUACCGUAGUCAUAGAAAUCUAUAGAGCACAUAUAAUUUACUAUUUUCGAUUACAGAAACUAAAGUAGAUGUCGAGAGACGGAGAGCAAUCUACAAAUGUUUUUGCCAUA